UCAAAUCCUAUGAGCAGAAGUAAGUAACCCCUGCGGAUGUUUUCAGAGAGUAUGCGGUCGGUGUGAGCAUACAGCGGAGGCUUGGGCGAAUGGAUCUGUGAGGAGCAUCGUUAAACACCCCUGUGGUGAAGUACCGAUCGCCGCGUUUCCUGCGUUAGUGUGACAGGGUAUUUCCCUUUUGUGUAAGGGCGUACCUGCUGAGGCGGCUUCAUGCCGUGAAUUUGGGUGGCACCACGAUAGCAAUCGUCCCAUAG
rnacentral:ncRNA from 1 species